rnacentral:rRNA from 1 species
UACGUAGGGUGCGAGCGUUGUCCGGAAUUACUGGGCGUAAAGAGCUCGUAGGUGGUUUGUCGCGUUGUUCGUGAAAUUCCCUGGCUUAACUGGGGGCGUGCGGGCGAUACGGGCAGACUGGAGUACUGCAGGGGAGACUGGAAUUCCUGGUGUAGCGGUGGAAUGCGCAGAUAUCAGGAGGAACACCGGUGGCGAAGGCGGGUCUCUGGACCGAUACUGACGCUGAGGCGCGACAGCGUGGGGAGCAAACAGG